rnacentral:rRNA from 1 species
GACGAACGUUGGCGGCGUGCUUAAUACAUGCAAGUCCACUGAAGCAGUGGUAGCAAUAUCGCUGUGGAGGUGGCGCACGGGUGAGUAACACGUAGGUAAUCUGCCUUCAGGUCUGGCAUAACUCCGUGAAACCGGGGCUAAUAGCAGAUGAUGCAGCGGCACGACAUCGGGACAGUUGUUAAAGCUAUGGCGCCUGAAGAUGAGCCUGCGUCUGAUUAGCUAGUUGGCGGGGUAACGGCCCACCAAGGCAACGAUCAGUAGCUGGUCUGAGAGGAUGAUCGGCCACACUGGAACAGAGACACGGUCCAGACUCCUACGGGAGGCAGCAGUAAGGAAGAUUGCUCAAUGGGGGAAAUCCUGAAGCAGCAACAACGCGUGAGGGACGAAGGGCUUUUGAUUGUAAACCUCUGUAGUGAGAAAAAAAAAUCCCAAUCUUUGGGACAUGAUGGUAUCUCAAAAGUAAGCCCCGGCUAACUACGUG